UAAGUCCCGUAACGAGCGCAACCCUUGUCCCUAUUUGCCAUCAUUUAGUUGGGCACUCUAGGGAGACUGCCGGUGACAAACCGGAGGAAGGUGGGGACGACGUCAAGUCAUCAUGGCCCUUACGAGUAGGGCUACACACGUGCUACAAUGGGACGUACAGAGGGUCGCGAACCCGCGAGGGGGAGCUAAUCUCAUAAAACGUCUCGUAGUCCGGAUUGCAGUCUGCAACUCGACUGCAUGAAGUCGGAAUCGCUAGUAAUCGCGAAUCAGAAUGUCGCGGUGAAUACGUUCCCGGGCCUU
rnacentral:rRNA from 1 species